UCUGCAUUUCAAAAAGCAAACAUUUUACUUUCAGAAGAAAGAAAAAAAAACUUCCGAAAUAGCAAAAUGGAAACCAAAAUAUAAACUGAACUGUCGACAAAAUAGAUGGGUGGUGAAAUAGAGGUAGGAGUCGUGGGUGCUAGGCGACAAAAGGGACAGUGAUGAGUUGAGGGUGAGUCGCACGGUAUCGCUGGUGGAGGGAGGGUGAUAAGGGUGUUGGACGAUGAGUGGUUCUCGUGAACUCCUCCCUCUUGUUCAAAAUGGCCUAUGGGGAAAACAGGCUGGGUGGCGAUGGCCAGAGGCAAGCCGAUGAGUCACCGAUGCUGGGUGACGAGAGGGAGGGAGGGGGACGAGGGAGUGGGAUGGGUUAAAAAAUGGGGUUGUUGUCUUCAAAUUGUAGUUUCAAUAGGAAGAGUAAUUCUAUGUUGCUCUUUUUUUUUUUUUUUUUUUGAUAGAAACGCCAGUGCAUUUGAAAAUUUAGGUUGAUCCCGCUUCUUCAGCACCCGUGUUGCCCGGCCAGUGCACCCCGCGAUGGCCAUCCCUCGGUCCAACACCACUCCGCGCCACCCAUCCCUUGCUUUGACUACAUAAUUUAUAUGAUAUCUGGCUAGCCAUUUUCAUUUGACACCUUCACCGUUGUAAGAGCUUCUCGACUUAUAGCGAACAAGCUCGUUGCGAAGUAGAAUUUGGAGAAGGAAAAGUGAAGAGAAAAUGCCUAGGUUCGAUCCGUAGCCAAUGUUCUUCAAGCGAGAGUGGAAUCGGAACCAGCCUUUUCUGGUGGGGUUUGCAAUCACCGGAACCAUCAUCACUAAGUUCUCUCUCGGUCUCUCAAAUGCGAAGAACGCUACCUUCGUUCAGAGGUUCAUUCAGAGGAACAAGAGGCUGUUCUUGCACCUUUUCUUGUUGGUAUGACUUGAAAAUACUACCAUAUGGUGAAAAGAGAUUCAACCGAUUAAAAACCGAACUUCGAAAGAUACAACUAGCAAUGGAUAUCCAAACAACUCGACAUCGACUAGAAAUAGAGGCUGAAAGGCGCAAGAGAAAACUUGAGUGUCAAUUUAUUUAUUGUAAUUUCAAUUACAUAUGUACUUUGUUUAGGAUUUUAUUUUGGGAAAUUAUGAGAAAACAAUGUGAACAAGAUUGCAAUUUUCAUGUCGUGGGCACUUUGUUUAGGAUUUUAUUUUGGAAAAUUAUGAUAAAAAAAUGUGAAUAAGAUUGUAAUUUUCAUGUCGUGGGUACUUUGUUUAGGAUUUUAUAAGAAGUUGUUUUCAUUUUAGAUUAA